AACUUCCACAUUCCCAAAAUAAGAUUAAAUUCUGCUCUUUGGCUAAAAGUCCUUGCACAUAACAACGGCAGGCAAGUAUGAAAAAACAGUGUGUGCUAGCACUGGAAGCAGGAUGAGAUUGUCAGAGUUGGACUUCAGGGUUCAAUAUUUCAGUGUUCAACACUGUUGCUGUGUAAACCACUCAACAACUUUGUGCCUCGUUGUAGUUCUCUGUGAAUUCAUGCAUAAAAUGUUAUUAUUCCUUUCCCUCUCUUUUUUUUUUUUCAACUGAACUUUGGCUGUGCUUUGCAUCACACCAAACACAAUUCCUGCUCACAGGAAAUACAAUCUGGCAAGCAGUAUUGUUCAUUUAGUUUGUCUAGCCUUGGGUGUGCAGGUGGUACAGUCUAGGGCAAGAACUGCAUCUUCCUGUUUCUUCUUUAAAGAGCACAUUUCAGGAAAUGUAAUAUCACCGCUGCCAUCACAGUCUGGACCCACAUGAGGAAUAUGAACAACUCUUAUUGCCAUGGGACUUGGCUGUUAGUGCUGACCUCCUUGAGACAACAUUAAGAGAUGGUGGCUGUGACUCUGGAGGCCUGUCUUUUCUCCAUGCCAUCCCCACAGAACUUGACAGCGUGAAGAAGAAAGAUAUCUGUCAGCUUCAACUGGCAAACCCUCCCGAAAAACAAGAAGAAAAAGAGAGGUUGGCUCUGUGCCAGAGACUGAAAGUUCUUCAGGGAGAAGCUUUGUGCUUUUGCAGCACCUGAUACAUGGGGUCGUGUUUCACAGGAAACCUCUGUGCUCAAAAGAUAAUAAAUAUACGUCA